rnacentral:rRNA from 1 species
UGGGCGCAAGCUGAUCUAGCCAUGCCGCGUGAGUGAUGAAGGCCUUAGGGUCGUAAAGCUCUUUCGCUGGGGAAGAUAAUGACGGUACCCAGUAAAGAAACCCCGGCUAACUCCGUGCCAGCAGCCGCGGUAAUA